CAUUCAGAAUAUUCACCGUCUGCUUUGGUGGAGUUUUCGACAAUAAUAAGGGUAGAGUCAGAAAGGCACACGUACAGGCAUCUCCAUUUCCUCUUCAUAGUCUCAUCUCCUCAGUAUCGCCUCUGCGUCCAUGGGCCUCACUAGACUGUGGACGCGGAUGGACCAUGUAUCAUCUGCGGCAUCUCCCAUUUCCUGCUCAUGCACCUACCUGCUCUGCAGGACGUCUGGCCUCCUUGACAGUCUCCCCCAAUCCUUUUAUGUCUGGAUGCCCAGGGACGUCUUCUAUGUACUGAUGCGUUAGUCCAUCCGCUGGUUAUCAUGGAGCGUCGUCUCCAUGUCACUUCCUUGCUUGCUCACAUCUUCAUAAAACCCUUGAGAGGGCCUCGGCCUCGCUAAUCAUGACUCCAGUUCCGUGUGUCUAGAGAUCUCAUUCAGAGCUCUCUCUGUUGCCAACUGUUGAACAGAAGGGAAGAUGUUCCUUCAGAUCACACGCUGUAGCUGGGGUCUUAAGCCAUGCAGCCCAUGUACUUUUUCAUAUUAUGCCAAAGUUUAUGGCGUAGAACCUGGGGAAUUUGUCCUGAAGCAGGUGCAUAGAAUACUGUUCUCGAUUCCUGUUUUUUCUGUCUCUCCGUUCCAUUUCCCCAUCUGAUGCAGAACAGGGCCACACAACAUGAUGCUAAUACCCUCAUCCUUGAGCCAGGAAACAAAAGUGUUCACUCACAUGGCUUGGUGGGCGCUCAUGGAACUUCCACGUCAUCAUGUAUACCUGGUUAUGUGUCUCAUCCUUUGAAGUUCUUGAGGACUCCCAUAGAGGUCAGUGAGGGUCCAGAUAAAUUACUACUUAAAAAUGACAGUAACCUUGAAGUAGUUACAUGAUUGUCUAUUUCACCUUCAAAUCUCUCCCUUUGAAAAUUAUUUAUUUUGAAUAUAACCACGCCUUACUAUUUAAAAUCUUUGUGUAUAUAUGUAUAUAUCCAGUAUGUAAAUGUGAAUAUAAAUCACAUACCUGGUAGCAUAAGGUGUGUGUGUGUAUGACACAAAGUAGCAUGAUACGUAUAUGAGUAAGUCGAUGUUCCGAUCCGUGUGAUUGAUACACAUGCAUCAGAUGGGGUAGUGUAUCAAAUGGGGUAGUGUAAUGUGUGUGUGUGUACGUGUAUACAGGAAUCCCAUACGGUAAUAUAAUGUGUUUGCAUGUGUGUGUGAAUCAGACAGAGAGUACUGUAAUAUGUGUAAGAAUGGGGGACAGACAAGCAUGGCAUCUGUGUGUGCAUAUGUGUGUUUGCAUAUGAUUCACACACAUAGUAGUGUAAGGUAAGUGUGUGUGUGUGUAUGAAUCAGAGUAGUGUAAUUGGAAAAACGCAGGGCAAAUAAAACUAUCUGAAAUGAUUCUGAAAUGAUCAUACCUGCAUGACAUUGUGUAAAGCACAUAACCUUUCGAGGCACCAUUAGUAAAUUGUGAGAUUUUUACUCAGUCUUGCUAUGGUCCUUCCUGCUUCUGUGGCUAGCCUAUUCCAUCACUGAGUGGGUUAUUAUAUCUGUAAUGAUAUUUAUAACUGACCUUUCUGUAUUCAGAAUCCGUGUUGUAUCUUUGUUAGCUACUGUGGGAGAGAGACACAGUAACUCUAAUUUCAUAGUUAUUUUUCUGAACUCUUCCCAAACUGACCCCUGGUUUUUAUAAUGAGAGGAAGGCAACACUUCCCUGGAUGUCCUUGAGAAACCACAUUUUCUAAAUCCUUGCAUCAACAAAAAAUAUCACUGCAGUCUUCACCCGUCUUGUUAAGGCUACAUGGCCCUGUAAUACCUAAUGAUUUGAGUGGGAAAUCCUUGAAGUCAGUGUUUAGGCAGUGCCUAGGUAGUAGUCCCUGCCUCAAGCUCCAUACUUGGCAUAUAUCUGUGGAAAGAACAAAUGGUUGUAUGAGAAGAUGCAUUUUAAUAAUUCACUGUCAUCUGUGUGCCCAGGUGUUUGCUGAAGAUUUCUUUGCGAUGUUGUGGUUGGAGCUGGUGGGGAGAGACGGUUUCUUACCCUGGUGGUUGCGAGAUGGCAAGUGCUAUUUUGAUGCUGUUUGUAACUGUGAUAGAGAAGCUGAGGGGUGGUGGGAAUAGAAUGUUAGUGUGUUUCUAUCUUUGGGGAACAGUUGCUGCACCCCUUUUGGAGGAACCAUCUUAAACCAGUGAACCACAUUAUUUCAUUAGCUCUGUGUCUGUAGAAUCGUAUGGGGGCUUUCCCUCUGGGCAUAAAUCUUGUGUCCAUAGGGCACUGAAGCAGUUAAUCUAAAUGCUCUCUUUUGGACUCAAAGUGCAGUGCGGACAGAGCCCUGAGUUAUGAUGCUGGAACGUCAGAAGGUCCUACUCUACUCAUGGAAUAUUCUUACUAGCUUGUGGUCACUGCAGUGGGAAGCGAAAAACUCUGUGUGGGGAAAUUAUAACCAUUAAAAGAAAAUUUGGUAAUCAAACAUGAAAGAACACCUCUUUCACUCAUGAAAUGCCUUUACUUUUUUUGUGUGUUUGUUUUCGUUUUUUUAAUUUCAAAAUCCAUUUGAGCAUUCCUCACUAAUAAAGCUUGCUGCGAUGGCAAAAAACGGCUUUCAGAGGCCCUUAGUCAGCUUAGGCUGAUUAGGUGUAGUGGUAAUUAAUUCUUACUUUGAUACCUCGUUGGCCUUCUUACUUGCGGAAAACGAGUAAACAUGAGAAAUAGGAUUUUAAAAGAUGUGGGUGGUUAUAAGCUAUGCCUGGAAACGAAUGUGACUAGCAUUCACGAGGACGCAGGUUCGAUCCCUGGCCUCGCUUAGUGGGUUAAGGAUCUAGUGUUGCCAUGAGCUGUGGUGUAGGUCACAGACUUGGCUUGGACCUGGCGUUGCUGUGGCUGUGGUGUAGGCCAGCAGCCACAGCUCCUAUUUGACCCCUAGCCUGGGAACCUCCGAAUGCUGCAGGUGUGGCCCUAC
ensembl:lncRNA